AAAUCCAAGAAAAAAAUUAUUUUUGUAAUUUUUGAAUUGUUCAAUAAGAAUCCAAAUUUUAGGCGCUAAAAUCAACAUUGAAUCUUAAAGGUGUGAUUGGUGGGAAGUGAGAACUAAAAAAAAAAUAGAAAAUGAAAAACUGAAAAAGUUAAGAAAAAAAUAGAAAAGUGGUCCAAAAAUUUCAACUAAUAAAAGAUAGAAAGAAAAAUUGUCUUACUUUAUCCUUUUUAAGAGAAAUUUAGCUUGAAUACUUGUUUUCCAUGUACUUUAAAUGGCUAAAAAUGAAUUUGGUAGAAAUUGGUUUCAUCCAUUUUAGUUUAGGCUAACAACAAUGCAAUAUAUUCUCAACCUUAAUCUCUUGCGUGUGAGGACAAUAUAUUUUAGUUUACGCUAACAACAAGACAAUAUAUUCUCAACCUUAAUCUCUCGUGUGUGAAGACAAGACAUAGCCAUUAUUAUUCUAGUACUAAAUAAGACAAUAUAUGCCUAAUAAAUAGAAAACCCGUAGGUGUUUUUUGGAGUAAAAAAACAUUAAGUGAAAUUUGUAAAACUAACCAACAAAUAAAUUAUAAUUAAGAAACAAAAGAGGUAUGAUAUUCUGUGUAUAAACUACAAUAUAAACUAAA
rnacentral:sRNA from 1 species